AUUGAAACUUUUUAGUUCACCUACUCAUUGCAUAGUUGAAUAUAUUAUGUUGAUUGAUACACAUUGUGCAUAUCAUUGCAAAGUUGAAACAUAUGAGUUAAUCAAUAUAUUAUUUGGCAUUUCAGUUAUCCCUUUUGGAGGUUAGUUCAUUGCAUGCCUCCUCUUUUUUUCCCAAAUGCUUAGUUUUGUACCAUCCUUUACCAUUGUUUUCAUUUAUAUUAG
rnacentral:misc_RNA from 1 species